rnacentral:rRNA from 1 species
AGUGAACGCUGGCGGUAGGCCUAACACAUGCAAGUCGAACGGCAGCACAGUAAGAGCUUGCUCUUACGGGUGGCGAGUGGCGGACGGGUGAGGAAUACAUCGGAAUCUACUUUUUCGUGGGGGAUAACGUAGGGAAACUUACGCUAAUACCGCAUACGACCUACGGGUGAAAGCAGGGGAUCUUCGGACCUUGCGCGAUUGAAUGAGCCGAUGUCGGAUUAGCUAGUUGGCGGGGUAAAGGCCCACCAAGGCGACGAUCCGUAGCUGGUCUGAGAGGAUGAUCAGCCACACUGGAACUGAGACACGGUCCAGACGCCUAAGGGAGGCAGCAGUGGGGAAUAUUGGACAAUGGGCGCAAGCCUGAUCCAGCCAUACCGCGUGGGUGAAGAAGGCCUUCGGGUUGUAAAGCCCUUUUGUUUGGAAAGAAAAGCAGCAGGUUAAUACCCCGCUGUUCUGACGGUACCCAAAGAAUAAGCACCGGCUAACUUCGUG